rnacentral:rRNA from 1 species
CCUACGGGUGGCUGCAGUGGGGAAUUUUGCGCAAUGCUCGUAAGAGUGACGCAGCGACGCCGCGUGAAUGACGAAUGCCUUCGGGUCGUAAAGUUCUUUCGACAGGGAAGUAAAUGCAUAUAAGUAACUGUGUAUGUAUUUACUGUACCUGUAUGAGCAGCCCCGGCUAACUCCGUGCCAGCAGCCGCGGUAAUACGGAGGGUGCGAGCGUUAAUCGGAUUUACUGGGCGUAAAGCGCUCGUAGGCGUUAUGUCAAGUCAAGGGUGAAAUCCCCGCGCUCAACGUGGGAACUGCCUUUGAAACUGGCAAACUUGAGUGUAUGAGAGGAUAGUGGAAUUCCAGGUGUAGGAGUGAAAUCCGUAGAUAUCUGGAGGAACAUCAGUGGCGAAGGCGACUAUCUAGCACAUCACUGACGCUGAGGAGCGAAAGCGUGGGUAGCAAACAGGAUUAGAUACCCUUGUAGUC